UUGAAAGUGUAAAAGCAUUUUAAUCAAUUGGGAAAAACCAGGAACCUUUAGUCUUGAGUGUCUCUUGAAGGAAUAUGUGGGGUCGUGUUUACCGUACUGUUUAUGCCAGGAAGAAUUUCCAAUAUUUUUUCUUGAAUAUUUAUUUUAGAUUUGGAUUUUGAUUCUCUUCAGUUCUUAACCUUUGAUAUUUUGUCUUAACAAUAAUACAAUCAACUGCCUUUCAACAAAGAGAAAGAUGAUAUGAAAACUGUCAUUGUAGAGUAACCUUAUAGGAUAAUAGAGAUGGCAGUUUAUCUCAUACGAGAAAAUAGAAGUGAACUUUAUAUUAAAGCUCAUUUAGAAAAGCAUGAAAUAAAUGGUUAGGCAUAUUUAACCUAAGACGACUACAGUGAAAUAGUAUUGAUUAUAAUAUUAUUAACAAUGUAGAACACAAGAUGAUAGAUAAUGAAAUCAGCUCCUUUUAUUUCUUGGCCGAAAAAAUACAGUAAUUCAUAUUUUUUUUGAAAGAGUAAAUUAACAUCAAGUCCCUUGGGUGGGGUAGUAAUGACCCAAGAAUAAUGACAAAAAUCUCUCAUUGGGGGUUACAGGCAGGAGGUGAAGAUGGUGUAUGGGCCGUACUACAAUAAAUCUUACAGGUUUUCGCAGAACCAGCAGAACUAACUCUCGGCUUUAGGGUUUCGGUGAAGGACCGAUUGAGCUAGUUUCCGGAGCAGUAAUGGUGAAUAGGUGACAGUCUGCGUGACAUUAUUAUUAUUAUUUUUUUUUUUAAUUAAUUAUUAUUAUUAUUAUUAUUGUCAUCAAUAAUAAAGUUUCCUCGCCAUUCCAACUUUGCUGAUGACGUUGACUGUCUCCCUUGCCGUGCUUUGUAUUUAUGGCAGUGCAGACAUUUUCCUGUGCAAAAGUGAUAGUUAUUCUUAGAAAAGACUGCAGCAAGAAGAUGCAAGAAAAUGGGAGAAGAAAAAAAAGGAAAGUGAAGACAGGGAGCGAGGAUGAAAGAAGAAAGAAAGAAAGAAAAAAAAAAGUGAGAUGGAAGAUAGUGUUAAUUAUACAAACUUUGAUUGGAAUGACUCGAGUGUUUAUUUUGAUGAGGGAAAUCAUCAAGUACCAGUACUGUUAUUUUUUGUGAUGGAGAGAGAGAGAGAAGAUUUAAGUGUUUGUAUCUUAUUUCUUUUUUCUUUUUUCUUUUUUCUUUCAUUCUUUCUUUCUCUCUCCUCUUCUAUGAUAUUUCAAAUAGAUGUAAGCGUGUUUUCCCGGAUACGCUUGGACUCUUGUUUCCUCUCCAGGCGAGUGAUUGCCAGGAAUGGGACGACUAAAAGUGUGUGUGAAUGAACAAGCAAAAAAGUUCACAAGUUCAUGUUCUUUGUUUGUAUUUUAUUUUAUUUUUAUUUGAUUUUCUCUUCUGCCUUUCGAGGAGAAUGGGAAAACCUUCUCCAAGGAAGGUGCGUCAUUCCAUAUAUUUUUUUUUUUUCUUCCCAGUGUUUCUUCAUAUCGUGUGUUAUCACUACUGCUUGUUAAGUCAGUAAUUGUGUGAUUUAUUGUUGUGAGGUGAGGAGGAAAUGGUGAAUAAAAUCAUGUCAUGUUA